GACGAACGCUGGCGGCGCGCUUAACACAUGCAAGUCGAACGGAAAGGCCUGCUUUCCCUUGUGGAUUGCGGGUACUCGAGUGGCGAACGGGUGAGUAACACGUGAGUGAUCUGCCCCCAACUUGGGUAUAAGCCUGGGAAACUGGGUCUAAUUCCCGAUAGGACUGCAGGGUGGUGCCUGUGGUGGAAAACGAUUUUCUAGUGGUUGGGGAUGAGCUCGCGGCCUAUCAGCUUGUUGGUGGGGUAAUGGCCUACCAAGGCGGCGACGGGUAGCCGGCCUGGGAGGGUGGACGGCCACAUUGGGACUGAGAGACGGCCCAGACGCCUACGGGAGGCAGCAGUGGGGAAUAUUGCACAAUGGGCGGAAGCCUGAUGCAGCGACGCCGCGUGGGGGAUGACGGCCUUCGGGUUGUAAACUCCUUUCGACCGCGAGGAAGCCACCUGGUUGGAAGGGUGGUGACGGUAGUGGUAGAAGAAGCACCGGCUAACUACGUG
rnacentral:rRNA from 1 species